AAUUUUGAUGGCGUGGGCCCAAGCCAAAUAAUUGGCACCAUUCAAUUUCUUGGUAGUGAUAGAUUUAGGCAUGUCAUCAUCCUUACCCAUAGUUAUAGCCUUAGCGUCAAUCUCAACCAUAAUGAUCAAUCACACAAAAUUCUCAACACAAGCAUGAAAGGGGUAAAAUACUUGCAAACAGCCAAUACCUACAACAACCAGCACCAACAAUCACCAAUAUAGACACAGAAGUAGCUCAAAAAACAAAAAUCCAUAGCAAAAAAAGGCAAAAGUGAGGAGAACACAGGUCUGCCAACCAAAUUGGGACCCAAUUAGACUAACACAAACUCAACAAUAGAAAUCAAGAAAUAGAGGACAAAUAUCCUUAGCUAGAAGGAUUUCAACCCUUAUAUAGGAACCUGCAAUAAGUAGAAUUGAAGAAAACAAUGCUGCUGGACUAGAAAUAGGCAAUAAUCGAACAAAACAUCAACCCAACUGCAGCAAAACCACAAAUUAAGAUCAAGGGCCCCUAGGGAUGGGAUUUUUGGCUCCUAGGGUAGUGAUUCCAGUAAGGAAAAAUAGCAAAAAGCAGUCCCAAGAGCAUAUUUGAAAAACAGUCCCAAAAAACAUAAAAUACUUUCAAAAAUCAAAAACUCACACAAGGGAUGAUCAAAAAAUUCCACAAAAUUGCCAUAAAUUUCAGGAGGCAAUUUUGAGUCUAGGGGUGAAGAACCCUUCCAUACAGUGCUUACGUCAUGUUGAUGUCAUCGUACGACUGAUGACAUUAGCACGUCUCGAUCACCUCAGAUCGAUCUCCAGAAACUGUAGAAACCUUUUUGAUGAAGAAUAGAUUACUCUAAUACCAAGUUAGAAUGUAAAAUGAAGGAAUUUAGGGUUGGGAUUUAGGAGGAAGAAUAAGAAGAAUAAGAAGAAAGAGAAAUUUUAUAUAUAUUGAAUAAUCAUAGUACCUCAACUUUACAUCAGUCAAAUAUAUAUGCAAACCCUAACAUAACAAUAUGACCAUCGUACCCUCAACUUAAGUAAAUAUUAACAAAAGAACAAAAUAACAAAAUAAGUAUUCUAACAAAUAUUAUAGUAGACACAGAAAAUACUGGAAACCAACUUCUUCAAAAUGGCGAUCUCUGAAGAAGAGUUACAAUUAUCCCUCUAAACCAAAUUCAAUCACAUCACGUUCCUCCUUGAGUGCAAAAUGCUUCUGUUAGAUUGGUUUGUCUUUUUAUUUGGCUUUUUUUAUAUUUUUAUAUAUCCCGUAUUUGUUUGUGUUUGUCAAAAGGUUAUUAUCCUACAUUUUCAGGUUGGCAAGGGGAAUGCAGAAGUGGCUCUGCCUUUGGUUGGAUAUGAUCAGGAACUGAAUGUAUAAAUUCACAUAUGCUAUUUAUGCUAUUCUAUCCAUUUGUUUCUCAUUGAAUCGAUGGUGUUUGGUGUUGUUGGAGACCAUCUGAUGUUUUGCCCAUGUGCAAUUGUGUGUGUUGGAAUGUUUCUAGCACGUGCCUUUCUUAAUGGUAUAUCAUUUAUAUCAUUGAAUCAUGUUUAUCCAGCCAAGAAAAAUAAGCAAUGUAUGGGUAAAAUCUUAUUAGCAUCCGUGCGUUUUUGUUUUUGUUUGGAUAAAAGAACUUUGGAUUGGGUUAGUUAUAUUUUGUUUUUAAAGAGAGUUGAUGUGUGUUGCAGAGUGCUAUGGAAUAUGUAUUUGGUUCAACAUUUGUUUGCAAAACUAUUGAUGCAACGAGGGAGAUUGCUUCUGUAAGAAAUGCUCAUGAUCAGGCUUAAUCUGAGCUCAAUCUUUUCCACUCAAAGAUGAAGGAGCGCGAUACACAGAUUAGUUGCAUUCUCAGGGAGCAACAGGAACUUCAACACAAAAUUAGUAAGAGAAAUCUUGAGAGGAAGAAGAUGGAAAAUGAGGUAAUGUGCUAAGUGGCUCAUGUAUUCUCUCCACUUUUUGGCUCGUAAGUUAGUAACCCACUUUGUUUUUUUGUAUUGUUUUGUUUUUGUUUUUGUUUUUUUUUGUGGCAAGUAAAACGAAUGGAGAUGGAACAGAAAAAUUGCUCCUUGAAGGUCAAAAAACUAAUAGAGAAGCAUGCUUGGAUAACACUUGAGAAACACCGAUUUGGAAGAAGUGGGACAGAUUUUGAUUUUGCAUCUUGUGAUCCUCAUACAGCAAGGAAAGAUUUUGAAAAGCUACAAGCUAAAGCAAUCAGGGUUGAUGCAGCCCUUGAUCUAAGUCACACCCAGAAUAUUAGAAGAAUGAUCAAAACUCAGUUUCCACAUUCACAGGUUUGAUUUGCAUUCUUGUGGUCACUGAUGUUCUCUACUUUUAUUUCUAUAUUUUUUUAUUAAUCUAUGAACUUGCGGUCAGUUCUCAAACAAUUGAAAGUUUAGUAGUUCUUCCCAAAAUGGUUUAGCUAGUUGUGGAUAGAUUGGGUACAAACCUAAUUUACAGCUCUUCUUGCACCCUUAAUGGUCUAUUAAAUUAUGUUUAAGUAUUUCUCAACCAAGAUAUUUCCUAUGGGGAAUGUUGAUGGAUAACAUCCUCUUACUCUCGUUUCUUUAUGAAUGUAUUCAACUUGUUCAAAAAUGUUUUUACUGCUAUCAGAAGUAGAAAAUAUUCACUAGUAAGUCUACAAUCUUGCUUCUAGAGGUUAAUAAAACAGCUAUUUCAGUCACUAAUUAUCACAGAGUUCAAAAAAAUUAG